GCAGAUCUUAAAAGGGGUUCAAGCAGAUUAGUUGUUGGAAUCUUGAUCUUGAAAUGGAACCAGUAAGAUUCUUGUUGGGUAAGCAAUCGUCCCUUGCACCAGAAAGGGUGAUUGCUGCAGUGGAAAUUGAGAGUGAAGAUGGGGAGGAAGGGGAUGUUAUAGAUAUUGAUCCAAGGAUCAGGCUGAUGUAUUCAGCUAAUGAGGGUGAUAUAGAAGGGAUCAAGGAGCUUUUGGAUUCGGGGACUGAUGUGAACUUUCGAGAUGAUGAUGAGAGGACUGCCCUACAUGUUGCUGCUUGCCAAGGUUACAGUGAUGUUGUGCAGCUGUUAAUUGAUAAUGGGGCUGAAAUUGAUUCCGAAGAUCGCUGGGGAAGCACGCCUUUAGGAGAUGCAAUACAUUAUAAAAAUCAUCAUGUGAUCAAGCUACUAGAGGAACAUGGUGCCAAGCCUCCUAUGGCUCCCAUGCAUGUCAACAAUUCACGUGAAGUUCCAGAGUAUGAGAUUGAUGCUAAAGAACUUGAUUUCACGAACAGCAUUGAAUUGGCCAAGGGAACCUUUCAUAUUGCCUCAUGGCGUGGAAUAAAAGUUGCUGUGAAAAAGUUUGGAGAUGAUGAGAUCGCUGAUGAGGAUAAAGUGACGGCAUUCAGAGACGAGCUUGCACUGCUCCAGAAGAUUAGACAUCCAAAUGUCGUCCAAUUUCUUGGUGCUGUAACACAAAGUAGCCCGAUGAUGAUAGUGACGGAAUACUUACCAAAGGGUGAUCUCCAUGCAUAUUUGAAGAAUGAAGAAUCUCUUAGACCAACAAAAGCUAUCAGAUUUGCAAUAGACAUCGCAAGAGGACUGAACUAUCUACAUGAAAUUAAACCUGAAGCAAUUAUUCAUCGUGACCUAGAGCCUUCAAAUAUUUUGAGGGAUGAUACGGGACACCUGAAAGUUGCUGAUUUUGGAGUCAGCAAGCUAUUGAA
rnacentral:misc_RNA from 1 species